rnacentral:lncRNA from 1 species
GUCAGGUUACACUGAGAAGACAGCUAUCUAUGAAUCAGGAAGCAGAGCUUCACCAGAGCACGAAGAAGAGAAAACAGAAAACAUCCAUUGAAUCCUCUGCCUCUGGUAAUGUAUGGCUCCCAGUAUGCCUCCUUCAAGAGCAUGACUGACCCAAUUACUAGUAUGAGCAAAAGGAAGAAACCCCCAAUUGAACUGAUGAAAAACAUAAACAGUGGCAAUGAAUUAUAACCCAGUUAAAACUGGAUCUGAAAGCUGAAUAAAAGACAUGCAAAAGCUAAAAAUGCCUAUGCCUAAUUAAAUCAUUAUUAAUAAAAUAACUGGAUCUAAUUCCAACAAUACGGGUUUUUCUUUUGUAACUAUUUGUUUUCCUAAUUUGGCUCCUAAUAAUAAAUGUUAUUAUAUCACAAAAGAUCACCACCUUUUUAGAAUGUAUCACAAGUAAAUUUAGUACUCUUAAGACCUAGCAAGAAUUAUUUCAAAA